rnacentral:misc_RNA from 1 species
AAAGUCGUAACAAGGUUUCCGUAGGUGAACCUGCGGAAGGAUCAUUAACACGUAUCCAAACGUUAACCCCCCUGUGAACCAGUUCAAUGUGCUCGUACGCUUUGUCAGAGCGAGGCAAUCCCUGGUAAAUCAUCGCCGAACAGUUUUGAUUCUGGGACUUCCUCAAAGAGUGUGCAUGUUGCGCGAGGCAAGUGGCCUGGCAUUCCCAAGCAGUUAUUGUCUAAAAGUGUCAUUAGCUGUGUAAGGAUGACGCAGUCACGAUCGUUGGAGGCCGACACGGCCGACGACCGGGUCACUGGGCGAAAGCUCCUUUAUCACCCCUUUAUGCAUGUCAGACGUGCCAGCCUUAAUUGAGCGGCAACAAAAAACCGAACAACUGUUAACAAUGGAUAUCUUGGUUCUC